GAGUUUGAUCCUGGCUCAGGACGAACGCUGGCGGCGCGCCUAACACAUGCAAGUCGAACGAGCGAGAGAGAGCUUGCUUUCUCAAGCGAGUGGCGAACGGGUGAGUAACGCGUGAGGAACCUGCUUCAAAGAGGGGGACAACAGUUGGAAACGACUGCUAAUACCGCAUAAGCCCACAGCUCGGCAUCGAGCAGAGGGAAAAGGAGCAAUCCGCUUUGAGAUGGCCUCGCGUCCGAUUAGCUAGUUGGUGAGGUAAUGGCCCACCAAGGCGACGAUCGGUAGCCGGACUGAGAGGUUGAACGGCCACAUUGGGACUGAGACACGGCCCAGACUCCUACGGGAGGCAGCAGUGGGGAAUAUUGCACAAUGGGGGAAACCCUGAUGCAGCGACGCCGCGUGGAGGAAGAAGGUCUUCGGAUUGUAAACUCCUGUUGUUGAGGAAGAUAAUGACGGUACUCAAUAAGGAAGUGACGGCUAACUACGUGCCAGCAGCCGCGGUAAAACGUAGGUCACAAGCGUUGUCCGGAAUUACUGGGUGUAAAGGGAGCGCAGGCGGGAAGACAAGUUGGAAGUGAAAUCUAUGGGCUCAACCCAUAAACUGCUUUCAAAACUGUUUUUCUUGAGUAGUGCAGAGGUAGGCGGAAUUCCAGGUGUAGCGGUGGAAUGCGUAGAUAUCGGGAGGAACACCAGUGGCGAAGGCGGCCUACUGGGCACCAACUGACGCUGAGGCUCGAAAGUGUGGGUAGCCAAACAGGAUUAGAUACCCUGGUAGUCCACACCGUAAACGAUGAUUACUAGGUGUUGGAGGAUUGACCCCUUCAGUGCCGCAGUUAACACAAUAAGUAAUCCACCUGGGGAGUACGACCGCAAGGUUGAAACUCAAAGGAAUUGACGGGGGCCCGCACAAGCAGUGGAGUAUGUGGUUUAAUUCGACGCAACGCGAAGAACCUUACCAAGUCUUGACAUCCUGCGACGGACAUAGAAAUAUGUCUUUCCUUCGGGACGCAGAGACAGGUGGUGCAUGGUUGUCGUCAGCUCGUGUCGUGAGAUGUUGGGUUAAGUCCCGCAACGAGCGCAACCCUUACUGUCAGUUACUACGCAAGAGGACUCUGGCAGGACUGCCGUUGACAAAACGGUGGAAGGUGGGGAUGACGUCAAAUCAUCAUGCCCUUUAUGACUUGGGCUACACACGUACUACAAUGGCGUUAAACAAAGAGAAGCAAGACCGCGAGGUGGAGCAAAACUCAGAAACAACGUCCCAGUUCGGACUGCAGGCUGCAACUCGCCUGCACGAAGUCGGAAUUGCUAGUAAUCGUGGAUCAGCAUGCCACGGUGAAUACGUUCCCGGGCCUAGUACACACCGCCCGUC
rnacentral:rRNA from 1 species